rnacentral:rRNA from 1 species
UACAGAGGUCCCAAGCGUUGUUCGGAUUCACUGGGCGUAAAGGGUGCGUAGGUGGUGAGGUAAGUCUGAUGUGAAAUCCCGCAGCUCAACUGCGGAACUGCAUCGGAUACUAUCUUGCUAGAGGGUUUGAGGGGGGACUGGAAUUCUCGGUGUAGCAGUGAAAUGCGUAGAUAUCGAGAGGAACACCAGUGGCGAAGGCGAGUCCCUGGACAACUUCUGACGCUGAGGCACGAAAGCUAGGGGAGCAAACAGG